rnacentral:tRNA from 1 species
GGAAGGGAUUCGUGAGCCGGUGCUGCGCUCGGGCUUCAAACCCGGUGAGGGGCGUUAAACGUGCCUGGUGGGUUCAACUCCCACUCUCUUCCGCCA